rnacentral:ribozyme from 15 species
AAUUGCGGGAAGAAAAGUAUGGCAUGAUAUAGCAAUCAAAAGUAGCCGAGAAAAUUUCAUUUUCUUUUUUUUUUUUUUUUUUU